GAACGAGAAAGUGGAGCAAUCCAUGAGUAAAGUGGCGACCGGGCGAGUAACACGUGACUAACCUGCCCUUGAGUGGGGGAUAACCUCGGGAAACCGGGGCUAAUACCGCAUAACAUCCUUGAGGUGGAAACUUUGGGGAUCAAAGGAGCAAUUCGCUUAAGGAGGGGGUCGCGGCUGAUUAGCUAGUUGGCGGGGUAAUGGCCCACCAAGGCGAUGAUCGGUAGCCGGCCUGAGAGGGCGCACGGCCACACUGGAACUGAAACACGGUCCAGACUCCUACGGGAGGCAGCAGUGGGGAAUUUUGCGCAAUGGGGGAAACCCUGACGCAGCAACGCCGCGUGGAGGAUGAAGUCCCUUGGGACGUAAACUCCUUUCGACCGGGACGAUAAUGACGGUACCGGUGGAAGAAGCCCCGGCUAACUUCGUG
rnacentral:rRNA from 1 species